AUUGAACGCUGGCGGAAUGCUUUACACAUGCAAGUCGAACGGUAGAGGGGGCAACCCCUUGAGAGUGGCGAACGGGUGAGUAAUAUAUCGGAACGUGCCCAGUCGUGGGGAUAACGUAGCGAAAGUUACGCUAAUACCGCAUACGAUCUACGGAUGAAAGCGGGGGGACUCGCAAGAGCCUCGCGCGAUUGGGAGCGGCCGAUAUCCAGAUUAGGUAGUUGGUGGGGUAAAGGCUCACCAAGCCAACGAU
rnacentral:rRNA from 1 species